AUGAUUAUUCGUUCGCUUGAGCCAGAAGUAAAAAAAUUUAUGGACAGGGAUCCUGUAAAAACAUCUUUUGAGGAAUGGGCCAGACACGGCCAUUUGUCAAGAACACUAGCUAAGGGCCCUGAUACUACCACUUGGAUCUGGAACCUACAUGUUGAUGCUCACGAUUUUGAUAGUCAUAUUGGUGAUUUGGAGGAGAUUUCUCGAAAAGUCUUUAGUGCUCAUUUCGGGUAACUUUCCAUUUUCUUUCUUUGGUUGAGUGGCAUGUACUUUCAUGGCGCCCGUUUUUCCAAUUAUGAAGCAAGGCUAAGUGAUCCUACUCACAUUAGACCCAGUGCUCAGGUAGUUUGGCCUAUAGUAGGGUAAGAAAUAUUGAAUGGUGAUGUAGGUGGGGGUUUCCGAGGAAUCCAAAUAACCUCUGAUUUUUUUCAGCUUUGGCGAGCAUCUGUAAUAACUAGUGAAUUACAACUCUAUUGUACUGCAAUUGGUGCAUUGAUUUUUGCAACGUUAAUGUUUUUUGCUGGUUGGUUCCAUUAUCACAAAGCCGCUCCCAAAUUGGCCUGGUUCCAAGAUGUAGAAUCCAUGUUGAAUCACCACUUAGCGGGAUUAUUAGGACUUGGGUCUCUUUCUUGGGCGGGGCACCAAAUUCAUGUAUCUUUAACAAUUAACAAAUUUCUUGACGCUGGGGUGGAUCCUAAAGAGAUACCACUUCCUCAUGUAUUUAUCUUGAAUCGGGACCUUUUGGCUCAACUUUAUCCUAGUUUUGUCGAAGGAGCAACCCCUUUUUUCACUUUAAAUUGGUCCAAAUACGUAGAAUUUCUGACUUUUCGCGGAGGACUAGAUCCAGUAACCGGUGGUCUCUAGCUGACCGAUAUUGCGCACCAUCAUUUAGCUAUUUCUAUUCUUUUCCUAAUCGCAGGUCAUAUGUAUAGGACCAAUUGGGGUAUUGGCCAUGGACUUAAAGAUAUUUUGGAGGCUCACAAGGGCCCAUUUACAGGACAAGGCCAUAAGGGUCUUUAUGAAAUCUUAACAACGUCAUGGCAUGCUCAAUUAUCUCUUAACCUAGCAAUGCUAGGCUCUACAACCAUUGUUGUAGCUCAUCAUAUGUAUUCUAUGCCUCCCUAUCCAUACCUAGCUACUGACUAUGGUACACAACUUUCCUUGUUCAGAAACCACAUGUGGAUUGGCGGAUUUCUAAUAGUCGGUGCUGCUGCACAUGCAGCAAUUUUUAUGGUAAGAGACUAUGAUCCAACUAAUUGAUACAACGAUCUAUUAGAUCGCAUCCUUAGACACCGCGAUGCAAUCAUAUCCCACCUUAACUGGGUAUGUAUAUUUCUAGGUUUUCAUAGUUUUGGCUUGUACAUUCAUAAUGAUACCAUGAGUGCUUUAGGCCGUCCACAAGAUAUGUUUUCGGAUACUGCCAUACAAUUACAACCUAUCUUUGCUCAAUGGAAUAUCCAUGCUACUGUGCCUGGCGUAACAGCUCCUAGUGCAACAACAAGUACUAGCUUAACGUGGGGAGGCAGCGAGUUAGUAGCAGUAGGUGGCAAAGUGGCUUUGUUACUUAUUCCAUUAGGAACCGUAGAUUUUUUAGUCCAUCACAUUCAUGCAUUUACCAUACAUGUGACUGUAUUAAUACUUUUGAAAGGUGUUUUGUUUGCUCGAAGCUCCCGUUUGAUACCCGAUAAAGCAAAUCUAGGUUUUUGCUUUCCUUGCGAUGGGCCUGGCCGAGGGGGAACAUGUCAAGUAUCCUCCUGGGAUCAUGUUUUCUUAGGUUUAUUCUGGAUGUACAAUGCAAUUUCGGUAGUCAUUUUCCAUUUCAGUUGGAGAAUGCAGUUGGAUGUUUGGGGUACUAUAAGUGAUCAAGGGGUGGUAACUCAUAUUACAAGGGGAAACUUUGCACAGAGUUCCAUUACAAUUAAUGGGUGGCUUCAAGAUUUCUUGUGGGCACAGGCAUCGCAAGUCAUUCAGUCUUAUGGUUCUUCAUUAUCUGCAUAUGGUCUUUUUUUCUUAGGUGCUCAUUUUGUCUGGGCCUUCAGUUUAAUGUUUUUAUUCAGCGGCCGUGGUUAUUGGCAAGAACUCAUUGAAUCUAUCGUUUGGGCUCAUAACAAAUUAAAAGUUGCUCUUGCUACUUAGCCUAGAUCCUUGAGCAUUAUACAAGGACACGCAAGAAAAUAG
rnacentral:rRNA from 1 species